rnacentral:rRNA from 1 species
GACGAACGCUGGCGGCGUGCUUAACACAUGCAAGUCGAACGGAAAGGCCCUGCUUUCGUGUGGUGCUCGCGUGGCGAACGGGUGAGUAACCUGUGAGUAUCCUGCCCUUGACUUUGGGAUAUCUUCAGGAAACUGGGGCUACUACCGGCUAGGAGCUCCUGCUGCAUGGUGGGGGUCGGACAGUUUCGGCGGUUGGGGAUAGACUGGCGGCUUACUAGCUUGUUGGUGGGGGAGUGGCUUACCAAGUGAUAGACGGGUAGCCGGCCUGGGAGGGUGAACGGCGACAAGAGUACUAAGAGACGGACCAGACUCCUACAGUAGGCAGCAGUGGGGAAUAUUGCACAAUGGGGGGAAGCCUGAGACAAAAACGCUGGGAGCGGAAAGACGGCCUACGGGUGAGAAACCGCUUUAGCCUGAGACGAAGCUGUAGUGACGGUAAUAAGUAAAGAAGCACCGGCUAACUACGUG